rnacentral:pre_miRNA from 1 species
UGUCCCUCUCGGGUCUUUUUGCGGUCUGGGCUUGCUGUCCCCUCCGCGGCACUCAGGAAGCCCUUACCCCAAAAAGCAUCCGCGGGGGACC